AGAGUUUGAUCGCUGCUCAGAUUGAACGCUGGCGCGGGCCCAACACAUGCAAGUCAGGAGCGGUGAAGGCGCCGGAGUCAUUCCUUGACCAGCGCGGACGGUGAGUAAAUAAUGCCCAGGAAUCCUGCCUGGUAGUGGGGGAUUAGCGUCCGGAAACGGGCCACCUAAUACGCCACGUCCUGAGGGAGAAAAUGGGAUCUUCGACCCCGCCAUCAGAUGAGCCAGGUCGGAAGAAGGCGGGGGCCUACCAAGGCGACGAUCCGUAACUGGUCUGCGAGGAUGAUCACCGAACUGCUGGAAGAGACACGGUCCAGACUUACGCGGAGGCAGCGGGGAAAUUGGCAAUGGAGCGAAAGCCUGAUCCAGCCAUGCCGCGCGGGAAGGUCUUCACUUGUGUAAGCACGCCGGGAGGAAGGCAGGAAGACCCUUUGCUGUUUGACGUUACCAGCCAGAAUAAGCACCGGCUAACCGUGCCCAGCAGCCGCAACAAGAAGGUGCAAGCGUUAAUCGAAUCACUGGGCGUAAAAGCGCGUAGGUGGUUCAGCAAGUUGGAUGAAAUCCCCGGGCUCAACCUGGGAACGCAUCCAAAACCACUGGUAAAGUACGGUAGAGUGGUAAAUUUCCUGUGUAGCGGUGAAACGCGCAUAGAGGAAGGAACACCAGUGGCGAAGGCGACCACCCGGACCUGAUACUGACACUGAGCGGUGCCGGAGCAAACAGGAUUAGAUCCCUGGUAAGUCCACGCCGUAAACGAUGUCGACCAGCCGUCAGUCCUGAGAUCAGUGGCGCAGCUAACGCGAUAAGUCGACCGCCUAGUACGGCCGCAAGGUUAAACUCAAAUGAAUUGACGGGGCCCGCACAAGCGGUGGAGCAUGGUCGAAUUCGAAGCAACGCGAAGAACCUACCUGGCCUUGACAUGCUGAGAACUUUCCAGGAUAGAGGACGGUGCCUUCAGGAACUCAGGCACAGGUGCCUGCGGCUGUCGUCAGCCUCGUGUCGUGAUAAGAGAAGUCCCGUAACGAGCGCAACCUUUGUCCUUAGUUACCGCACCCGGGUGGGCACUCCUGAGAGACUGCCGGUGACAAACCGGAGGAAGGUGGGAUGACGCUGGUCAUCGCGGCCUUUACGGCCAGGGCCCACGUGCUACAAUGGUCGGUACAAAGGUUGCCAAGCCGCGAGGUGGAGCUAAUCCCGUAAAACCGAUCGUAGUCCGGAUCGCAGUCACUGCAACUCGACUGCGAAGCUCGAAUCGCCCAGUAUCGUGGUCUCGAAAUGUCACGGUAACAUGUUCCCGGGCUCGCAGGUACACCGCCCGUCACACCAUGGAGUGGGUUGCUCCAGCGAAGCUAGUCUAACCGCAAGGGGGACGGUUACCACGGAGUGAUUCAUGACUGGGGUGAAGUCGUAACAGCCGUAGAGGAACCUGCGGCUG
rnacentral:rRNA from 1 species